UUGCCCACUAGAAUGUCAGGCCCACGUGGCUAGAGACGACCUGUUUCAGACGCUUACGUUCCCAACACCGGAAAUGCAAUCGUGCCGCAUCUUGCGCGGCUGACGUGAGGAAAUCAACUAGAAACUCCUUCAGUAUUUAAGAAACAUUUACUUGUUUUGAGGCAAGAUAUUACUGUGCAGCCCAGGCGGCCUCCAAGUCCAGGCUGGCCUUCUGCCACAGCCUCUCAGUGCCUCAAUGCUGGAGAUGACAAGGACUCAUCCACAUAUCCAGCUUCCUAGAAAAUGAAUCCAGAUGCUUUUUGUUCUUUUGUUUGUUUGUUUGUUUUUUUGUUUUUGUUGUUUUGAGACAGGGUGUUUCUCUGUGUGGAUCUCUAUUUGUAGACCGGGUCUCCAACUCUCAGAGAUCCACCUGCCUCUGGCUCAAUUUUGAAAGAAGGAGUUAAUGCUUGAUUGGAUGGGGGUGUUCUCUCUGCAUGUACAUCUGUGUACCAUCUGUGUGCCUGAUGCCAGCACAGGCCAAAAUGGGGUGUCAGAUCCCCUGGGACUGGAGUUACAGAAGGCUGUGAGCUAUCUUGUGAAUACUAGGAACCGAAGCCAGGUCCUCUGCAGCUCCAAAGCCAACUCUUAACGACAUGCUGUCAUCCUGCUGAGGAGAUUCCUCAGAUGAAUUAAUAGGCCCAUUGUGGUCACAUGCCAGGUAUUGUGGUUAGAGGUGCUGAGCCUGUGUGUCUUGCAUAGCAAUGGGUUCUUCCUGCUGUUUCAUCCUAUUCAUCACUGAAAAUCUGAGCAAAGGGUUUGUCCGACACCAUCUGUAGAUUGGAUCAAGAAGAUUAAAACUCUUCCCUUGACACUGGGCUAUCUUCUGGGGAAAUUGACCUCAGUCAGAGCAUCAAAUCAUUUUUGAUUUUUGGUAGUGCUGGAGGUUGACUGACCCCAGGGCCUCCAGUAUGUUAACAGCAGCCCAGUGUUGCCUGAAACACAUUCUGCAGCCUCUGAAACAAUGAGGUUUUGAUGACCUGGACAUUGAGAAGUGAUACUGCUUCCUUUCCAGGGGGAAAGUCAAAUAUAGCAUCCCAGCCCCUUGAGCAUUACAUUUGCACAUAUGAAUGGGCAAUAAAGCUUAAAAAAAAAAACCUUUUUUAUUCUCCUUAAGAAAGUUAUGCAUCAAGAAAUUCCCAGGUAUAUUUAUGCUAAUGAUGAGGAGAGGGCAGUUUGAAAUUCCUACAUAAGAAAAACCUAGUGUGUCUGAAAGAACUCAAAUCUAGCCAAUUGGAUGUACCUUGUUAUUUUAAUCACUUAAAAAUUCAACAGGAAAAAAAAAUUCAACAGGCAAUUACUGUGUCAAUACAGUAUUUGUUACAUAAUUUCCAUUUUUGUACAGUAUCUAUUUCUAUAUAUCUGUGAAAAAAACUAGGAUAUAUAGUAAUAUUGUUUUUUUUUCUCCAUAAACUAAUGGUGUGUAGACUGCAAUAUUUAAGAAUAGCAGAGAUAAAGAAGGAUAAUGGGCUAUGUGAAGGAAUGAUUAAUUCAGCCUUGAGGUCUCUGUAAAAAUGCCAGUGUCACAGAUACAAUAACAGUUGAUUGCGAUUUUUGAAGGAUGCAUACCAGGCUGAAGUUACACAGUUGGAGAAGAAGUUCAGAUUGGAGGAGAUGUUACAGGAUGUAGAAUCUAAUGCCAUAGACUGGAAACAGUGGCUCAUCCCUAUCAUCCCAGCUUUCCUGAGGCUGACACAGGAAUACUUUCCAGAGUAUGAGGCCACCCUAGGCUAUACAUUGAGCUCCUGGACAGCCUGGGUUAGAGACCCCUUCUCAAAAAAGAAAAUAAAACAGACACUUGGGCCAUAGUAUGGAGAACUGAGUAACACUCAAAUUCUAGAAGUUACAGGGCUGCCUGUGACUGAAAAUGGAAUUUUGGGGGAAAUUCAGUGUCUUAGUUACUGCUCUAUGGCUGUGAGGAGACACCAUGACCAAGGCAAUGUGUAAGGGAAAAGCAUUUAAUUGGGACUUUGCUUACAAUUUUAGAUGGUUAGUCUGUUAUCAUCAUGGUUGUGGAGAGCUGCUUGUUUAUCAAGCUGCUUUGUUACUGAGUAUUGAGUGAAAAACAUGUUUUCACCCUGGCCUGUACCUUGAGACAGAGAGAAGAGAAUGUUUCCCCAAGUUCCUUAAAACUUGUUUGUGUAACUUUGGACCAUAUCUGCUACAGGGAAGUAGUUAAAGAAAACAAGUUUGGCAGUUCCAUGAACUUUCUUGUAUUGAUGUGACUUGUUUUUGCUUUGCCUAUAAAAGGGAAUUGUGGAAUAUACUUAUGGCUGCAGUCUUCCUGACAAGUCCUCUUGAGAUGAUUCCAUGUGUAGAGUGACUUGCUUUCAUUAUUUCAGUCCUCAGUUCCCACUCAGGUACUGUUCGACUCUGCUGGCAGGCUCUGGCAGUUUGGCACCAGAAACCUGAGGUAUAGAGAAGCAGUGAAGGAUACCACAGUGUUGGUGAGCUUGGACCAUAAACUAAAGAGAAAGGGGCAUGGAUUUAUCAUGGCAACUCCCUUAGGAGGAGAAACCAACAAACGUAAGUCAUUGCUUAAAAUGUUUUGUUACAAUUGGUAUUCCUUCCAUUAUAAAGACUGAUAAUGGGACUGGAUAUAAGAGUCAAGCUUUUCAGUGUUUUUGUGCUCAAAUGAAUAUAAGUCAUAAAACAGGUAUUCCAUAUAACCCUCAAGGCCAAGGAGUUGUUGAGCGUGCCCAUGGAUCUCUUAAGAACCAAUUGUAAAAAAUAAAAGGGGGGAGUUAGAUCCUCAAACACUACAGAAUUAUCUCAAUCAUGCUCUAUUUUAAAGUUUUCAAAUAUGGAUAUACAAGGCCAUUCUGCGACUGAUCAACUGUGGCACCCUAAUACCAAAGAUAAUUAUGCCCAAGUGAAAUAGAAAGAUCUGAUUUCUGGAAUAUGGCAGGGCCCCGACCCUGUAUCAAUAUGGGGAAGAGGGCAUGUUUGUGUUUUUCCGCAGGAUGCUCAAGGAGCCUGUUGGAUCCCAGAAAGGUUGGUGCGAUUUGCAGGAGAUGUUCCCUGGAAGGAGGAUGAUGAAUUUUGUCCUGAUGAUGAACGGAAAGCUGUAUUGGGCUUAUGCUCCUGGCUCACCUUUGCUACAUUCUGCUCCUGAGAGAAGAUGUUGUGCAGAGAAACCUUUUAGAUACAAUGUGACUGGACUUGAUUGGUCUGGUAAUCAGGAUGAUUCUCAAUAAAAUUGGGAAGAAUGGGAAAGAGGACUGACUAUGGUACUUCUGGUUUUCAGCAGACCUGUAUUUGGAAGCUUGCUGCUGAACUCUCGGGAGGCCCUGUAACUGCCUGUGUAAAUCCUCCUUAUGCUUUGUUGUUUGGAAUGGUUAACAUUUUUAUGCAAGAUUCAAACUUUAAUAUUUCUUGCCAUCAAUGUAAACUAACAAACUGUAUUUCUAAGCUUUCAAAUGGACAAUAGGUUCUGGUUGUUCAACAGCCUUUUUUUUGUUAUGGUUCCUGUGAAUGUUUCUCAGGCUUAGAAUUCUGAUAAGGGAUUACAAGUGCUAGAAGCAGACCUAAAAGAAUGGUUGGGUUAAUUAUUGCAGAUAUUAUGGCCCUCCUGGACAUCUUUUUUUGUCACUUUUAUGGAGUAUUACAGGACUUGGCUUAUUACUCUUAUUAGGAGCAUGUCUCCUACCAGUGAUAAUUAAAACCUUCAUCAAGACCUUCCAGCAUCUACCCUAGCGGAGGUUGGUUGUCAAGGAUUGUUACUAUCUCGCUGAGGAAUAUUCAACCUAAGACAGGGCAUGAAUGAUGGAGUCAUGUACCAAUGAGACAGCCUAACACAGGCACAAUCUUCUGCUCCAUAGCUCUUAAGCUAUGGUCUUUUAAAAUAUAAAAAGGGAGACCUGU